rnacentral:rRNA from 1 species
UACAGAGGUCCCAAGCGUUGUUCGGAUUCACUGGGCGUAAAGGGUGCGUAGGUGGCGGGGUAAGUCUGAUGUGAAAUCCCCGAGCUUAACUCGGAAACUGCAUCGGAUACUGCUUUGCUCGAGGGUUGGAGGGGGGACUGGAAUACUUGGUGUAGCAGUGAAAUGCGUAGAUAUCAAGUGGAACACCAGUGGCGAAGGCGAGUCCCUGGACAACUCCUGACACUGAGGCACGAAAGCUAGGGGAGCAAACAGG